ensembl:lncRNA
GGCCACCCCGAGGCAUUCUGGGGCCCCAAAUUCGGAGGGUGUUGAUGGAGGCAUGCAGGCCUUGUUUGGAUUGGCACUGGAGAACUUUAUUUUGAAAGCCUCUGGAGCCUACCUGGGAUGACUGCCAGCAACUCCUACAAACUCUUUUUACCUCAGAAAAAAGGGACCAUAUCCUCCAGGAGGCAAUUAGAGCCACCCUGGGACCUGGUGGUGAUGCUGCCCCUGACCAUGCCCAAUGCCUGGAGGCUGUCAUGCCAGCAAAGCAUCCGAAUUGGGACCACAACACAAAGGAGGGUUUGGACAGAAACAAACCUGCCUGGACUGGCGGCACACCAACCUCCUGCUGUGGCCACCCUUCUGGCAGCAGCAACCCCCAUCGCCAUCAAACAAUACCCCAUCAAGACAGCUGCCAGAGGAAAAAAAUGAGGAUUCAUUUGUGAAAACUCCUGGGUGCUGGAAUCCUGAGACCAUGUAAGUCCCCCUGGAAUACUCCACUUCUUCCAGUAUUAAAACCAGGCACAGGAGACUAUCGCCCAGUCCAGGACUUACGUGAAAUAAACAAGAGGGUAGAGACUGUUCACCCAACUGUCCCAAAUCCCUAUACACUGCUGAUCCUCAUGCCACCAGAACACAAGGUAUAUACUGUAUUGGAUCUCAAGGAUGCUUUCUUCAGCAUUCCCCUGGCACCGGUGAGUCAACCUUUGUUUGCCUUUGAAUGGGUGGACCCGGAUCAGGGAUUCUUGGGACAGUUGACCUGGACUAGGCUGCCACAAGGAUUCAACUCCCCCACAUUCUUUGAUGAGGCUCUGAAUUGGGAUUUGUCUCCCUAUCAAAUACCCCACCCAAAUGCGACUGUUACAAUAUGUAGAUGAUUUGCUCAUAGCUACAACUGACCUUGCAAGGAAGCAACCAAGGACCUCCUUGAACUAUUACAAGGGCUCAGUUAUAGGGUCUCAGCCAAAAGGCACAAAUUUGUGUCUCAAAGGCCACCUAUUUGGGCUAUCAAUUAUCUGAAGGAAAGUGAUUGCUUUCAAGCCAGAGGAUUCAAGCUAUCCUCCAAAUUCCAACUCCAACUACAAAGUGCCAAGUCAGGGAAUUUUUAGGGGCUGUAGGCUAUUGCAAACUCUGGAUAUUAGGGUUUGCUGUAAUUGUGAAGCCCCUAUAUUCAGUCACUGGGGGGGGGAUCCCCACUCUGUUGGACAGAGAAAGAAGAACAAGCCUUCCAGAAACUAAAAGAGGCCUUUACUUCAGCACCUGCUCUGGCACUCCCAGAUAACACAAAGCCUUUCCAUUUGUUUGUGACAGAAAAGAGAGGAAUAGCAAAAGGGGUAUUAACCCAAACCCUGGGACCUUGGAACAGACCAGUGGCAUACCUAUCUAAGAGACUGGAUCCAGUAGCCACUGGAUGGCCAUCCUGUCUGUGAGCCAUUGCAGCCACUCCCUUAUUGGUAAAAGAGGCUGACAAACUGAGUCUGAGCCAAGACCUGAUUAUUGUUGCCCCACAUGUAGUUGACACAUUGCUAAGGGGCUCCCAGUCAGUGGCUCUCAAAUGCAUGGUUGACUCAAUAUCAAGCCCUGCUCCUCGAUCAUCCUAGGAUCACUUUUGCCCAGACCGUGGCCCUCAACCCAGCAACACUGCCCCCCGAUCCCAAAUUAAAUGCACCUGUCCAUACCUGUGAAGAUGCCACCUCCUCAUCUUCACCAGAUGAGGUUUACUUCACAAAUGGUAACUGCUAUGUGGAAGAGGGCAUCAGGUGUACAGGGGCAGCCGUGGUCACACCAGAGGGACAGAUAAAAUGGGCUCAAUCGCUGAGCUGAGGGUUUUUAGCACAAAAAGCCAAACUGAUUGCCCUAACACAGGCCUUACAGCUGGGAAGAGAAAAAAUUAUAAACAUUUAUACUGACAGCUGGUAUGCGUUCACCACUGCUCAUGUACAUGGAGACAUCUACAAACAGCAGGGCCUAUUGACCUCAGAAGGAAAAAACAUCAAAAAUAAAAAAGGGAUUCUGGCCCUCUUGGAGGCAAUUUGGGAACCAAAGGCAGUGGCCAUUGUCCAUUACAGAGGACACCAAAAGGGGAAUCACUAUGAGACAAAAGGAAACAGAGCAGCAAAUUUAGCAUCCAAGAGAGUGACCAAAGAACCAGUGGGGCCAAUAGAUAUCCUACCUGUGAAGCCCCUGGAACACUUACCAAACCAGCCAAACUAUAUCCCUGAGGAAGAAGUUCAAAAUAAACAAUUAAGAGCAAUGAAACAGAGUUCUGGAUGGUGGGAGAGAUCCGAUGGCUGCAUUUGUUUUCCCAGAGUGUUGGGAAGACAGAUACUUCAACAACUCCACUGUCUCACCCAUUUGGGGGAAAAGAAAUUAAGAGAUCUGGUAAGUUUUCCAUCCCAGGACUAACUCUGUUGGCUCAAGAUAUUUGUUCCAGGUGCCACGUAUGUGCCAAGGUAAACCCCGCAACAAGGCCCAGAAACACUGGGACUCGGUUUAGGGGGACCCGACCAGGAGAACACUGGAAACUGGACUUCACUGAGAUAAAGUCUCUACAAGCCUUACAAGAGAUUCAGCUUGAGAACCAUCACCACGUACAGGCCACCAGAGGACAACAGCCUUUCCCGCCCCACCAGUUCAAACCAGGGGAUCUUGUCUUGGUUCACCAACAUCACUCACGCCAAGCCAGCACCACCAGAGGAUGACCCACUUUCAACAUAGAAGGUCCUCAGCCAGCCCAGGGACCAAAAGAUAAGACUGGGAUGGGAAACAAAACUGUAAUUAUGCUAAUUCUAUGUCAAAUAAGGUUUCAGGAAAGUGAUGCAAGCAACCCCUAUGCACCGCAAACAAAAAUUUUAAAACUCAGGAUGACUACAAGCAACAGAGUGGUCAGCCAAGUUAAUAAGGGUCCCAAUACCAGCCAAGAGUCUAACUAGAGAAACAGGAGGGUACACAAUUACAAGUUGGAUGGAAUGACAUCCCGUUCAAUUCUACGUUUGUCCAGCAGAGGGCAUUUCGGAUUGUGGGAAAAAGGGAGAUUAUCACUGUGGUGCCUGGGAUUGUAAAACUACAGCCCCCUGGCAAGUCCAAGUAAAGGAUGUUUGGAUAAACAUCUCAGUUUACUAAAAAUUCUGAUGGCUUGUUAUGUGUAACAGUUUAUGUGUUCCCCCAGGUCCUGCAUUAUAAUAAAAAAGGAGGACAAGGACAUUUAGGCCCAAAUUCCAACCCCUGUGGAACCCUUUGUUCCAAAAGAGCUGCACCUGUCUUGGUCCCUAUAUUCCUUGGGUUAGAUGUGGCUGGAUCAGCAGCCAUUGGGUCUUCCUCCUUAAUAUUACAAGAUUCUAGCUUCAAAGCCCUCAGUCAUCAGGUUGCUUGAGAUCUAGGUUAUUUAGAAGAUUCAAUCUCCAGGUUAAAAAAAACAAGUAGACUCAUUAACUGAGGUAAUAUUACAAAACAGAAGGGGUUUAGAUUUACUAUCCAUAAAACAAGGUAGGCUCUGCAUAGCCUUGGGUGAAACAUGUUGUUCUUAUGCCAACCAGUCGGGGAUUAUCCAUGACACCCUAGCUAUGGCAAGAGAGGAUUUUUUUAAAAAAAUUGCAAUCAGAAAGGACAAAGCUGGUACCAAACUAUGUUCAAUUGGUCACCUUGGGCAACGACUCUAAUAUCCACCUUGGCAGGACUCUUGUUUAUCCUCCUGUUACUGCUAAUGAUAGGGCCCUGCAUCUUAAAUUCAUUAACCAAUUAUAUUAAACAACGGGUAAACUCUGUUAAACUAAUGGUAUUGAGAGGACGAUACAAUCCUCUUCCUUCAGAAAAAAUGGAGGACGAAUCAAAGAUUUGAUUAAAUGGACCAGAACUAGUGGGGAAUGUGAGACCCAACUUAGCAACUUAGCAAUACCAGCACCAUAUUGAGAACAUUCUCCUCCAUUUUGCAUAUAUGUGACUUCCAGCUGCUUUCUGUCUCCUGGGAGAAAACCCUACCCCCAACGAUAAAGAGAAACUGUGUUUCAGGUGAUGUGCAACAAACUCUUACCCAGGGGAAUGGGAGGAACUAACUGUGCUUAUCUUGGCUUCUGUAACCAGCUUUUGCAACAAUCUGUAAGUCAGGGGAAUGGGAGGAGGGACUUUUUCUGUGGUUUUUUCCCUUUAAAUAUGCAGUCCUCAUUUCAGUUGGGGCCUUUGUCCUGCAACUUGGUUGGAGUGUACAUGGGUCCUGGCCAGAAAAUAAAGCUCUCCAGUAAGAUCCCAGGACUGUGUCAUGCUUUGAGAGUUCAUUGCUAAUCUAAUUCAGGGACAAGGUCCAACAGUAAACACUGCAUAUCUAGAAAAGAACAUGUAACAUACUUGAGGUAGGGAAAACCCAAAAAUCUUUAUUUCUGACUCUUACAAGGCUU